rnacentral:other from 1 species
UGCACCCUGCCUUGUGCGACAAAAGUGCGGCAAUACUAACCCAACACUCAUAUCUUAGGGAAGCCGUCUCCGAUCAGCGGAUUGCAGACCUCCCGCCCUCAGGACGGACGAAGGGAGCGUGAACCUGCGGGAGGCUACCCACCUGCUUUAGACGCAGGUUAUUAUUCGCCGCAUAACGGCUUGGCGGGGAUGC